rnacentral:lncRNA from 1 species
AUCGGGAUACUAAAAUAUAUUUCAGACCCUGUACAUAAGAACCUGUUUAAGCUAACUUGGAAAAAAUCUAGGUUCUUAUUCGCAGGGUUUUACUGUGUUGUCUAAUUUUGUCCCAAAACAGACCAUGCACGGCAGCCUGUUCUGCCAACAUAGAUAAUGGGAUGGUGCCACUCUUUGUGACACAAAAUCAGGCAAUUAUAGUACAAUAUGAACUGGCAAGUGUCUGGCACCUUAAAAUCAGAUUCCUUUGUGUAGAUGGAGCUCAUAAGCCUUGGCUGGCAAUCCAUCUAGGAGAAAAAAAGCUCUGAUUUCAAACCCCCAGACCCCACUUUUGGACAAGACAUGUAUAGUAACUAUAUCAGUCAUGAUCAUCUAAAAAUGCCAGUAUAUAUGCACUUAUACAAAGCUGUAUGCACUGCAAAGCUACACUUUAUUUAUCUCAACGACAUUUUCAGGGUUCUGGAUCAUUUUCAUUACUUUGUGAAGAGUUUAUUCUCUUUGAUUUUUAUACAUUUUUAGAUCUGACUGGUCUCCAUGUGAUAAAAUAUGAACCUGAAAUACUAGCCUAAACAGAUUGGGUGUCUAAAUACUGAAAAAUUAGCCUGACAGGCCCUUAUGCAGGUUCUUAUAUGCAAGCUUUUACUUACAAUUAGGGUGGAAAAUAUACUUACUAGUAAUUAUUAGUUGAUUUUGUUUACAUCAUAAGUAUUUGUGAUCAAAAUCUUUUAUAAACUAAAUGUCUUAGGGGUGUUUACAUGGAAGCAAGCCAGCCCAGUUACCUGAGCUAGGUGGCUUUGCCUAGCUAAUUUCAUCAUGUAGCAGGCUGGCACCAAAACAAAUCAUCGCGAGAAACUGUCAUGGUUAUGACCAUCACAACUGUUCACAGAGGCAUUAAUUUAUAAAAUUAUAGAUCAAACAUCUGUUGAGAAAGUCUUAUUUACUACAAUUAGUACAAUAUAUUCGUAUUGAGCGGCUUAGGCAAACCAACCAACCUAGGCGAGAUCUGGGGCUCUGUCGGGCUUCACAAAUUAAACAAGAUCUUGCUUAGGCAAGCAAGCCUGGUUCUCAUAUACACACAAUACGAAUAUUAGUAUAAAUUAUCUAGCAACAUUAGAUCUCGGCCAAGCAAGCUACCUCAGGCACCCGAGCUGGCUUGCCUCCAUAUAAAAGGCAUUUAAACUGUUAUGUGUUUUGAUCAAAUUAAAAUCUACUUUAACUUUGAUCAGAGAAACUUUUUGAUGUGUUUCUAUUAAGUUUUAAGUGAGCACAAGUUGUCCAUGAGCAGACAGUCAAAGACAGUAAAGCACUGCCACAGCCAAGUAGAUUAUCACUCUGACAAUUGACAAUAACACGUCUAUAUAAACAGCCAUUCAAAAGUCCCAAACAUGUUCACUCCAAAUUGUUCAUUAUUUUUUCAUCGACAACUCACUAGUCUCGAGUAUCAUAUCUUUAGGCCUUUAUAAUUAUAUUAUGGGUUUCAGUUUGUAAACAGAAUAGAUAAACAGUUCGUAUAUAUUAACGAUAGUGAAAUAGCUAGUGUAAUAAAGAAAAUUUUAUAGUCAUUAAAACCUCGAUUGAUGGGCUUCAACAAGCGAUUUCUCUGAAGGAUCAACAUUGCAGCUAUGUUUGGAGCAAUCUCCAAUCCUUCUAGGAUUCUUUUCUUGACAACCUUUGGUAGAAGCUUGAGGAUGCAGCUCAUGCAGGUAUAUCAUGGCCAUUCAUGGGCAGACGCAGAAAUGGAAUGCGCUCUCCAUCGAGGAAAACAAUAAAAUAGAUACACUUUGAUACACUUUCGAAGCAUCCCUGUUAGCGUAGUAUCCUUUCCUACUCUUCAUGUUGCCUCAAUAACUCGUUAUUUGACGGACUGUCGCUCAAAAAAGCUCAAAAUAUUUUGGAAACUUCUUCGCUCCUUGGGCAUUAAAUUCAAUUGCGAUAAAAACAACGCGCGUGUUAUUGCCAGAAAUGAGACUGGACCGAGCACAAACAGAGGAUGACAACUUCCUGUGUGUCCCCAC